rnacentral:lncRNA from 1 species
UUCAACUAAAUUCUAAUUUAAUUAUAGUUGAAAUUCUAAUGGACUUCAAUCAAAUCCUAGACAAAUCUUAAUCUUUAAAUCAAAUCCUAAAUAAAUUUUAAAUCCUAAACCAAACUCUAGACUAAUCUUGUAUCCUAAAUCAAAUCCUAACCAAAUCCUAAAUCCUAAACUAAAUCCUAACCAAAUCCUUAUCAAAUCCUAAAUCCUAAACUAAAUCCUAACCAAAUCCUAAAUCCUAAAUCAAAUCCUAAUCAAACCCUAAAGUAGUUUAGAACCUUGAUAUCUUUUGUUUAAAUUUUUUAUCUUAUUUAAAAUUUUACACACCUUUCAAUCUCUUUUUUAAAAAUAAGUAUAUCAAAUUUGAAGAUAAUUAUAUUUAUCAAAUGGAAGAAAAACUCUAAAAUUUGCUCAGAUGUUGGCCUGUCUCUUUUUCUAAUCUUAA